CUACCUACGGGAGGCAGCAGUGAGGAAUAUUGGUCAAUGGGCGGGAUCCUGAACCAGCCAAGCCGCGUGAGGGAAGACGGUCCUAUGGAUUGUAAACCUCUUUAGGCGGGGAGCAAUGCCGGGCACGCUUGUCCGGUGGGAGAGUACCCGCAGAAUAAGCAUCGGCUAACUCCGUGCCAGCAGCCGCGGUAAUACGGAGGAUGCGAGCGUUAUCCGGAUUUAUUGGGUUUAAAGGGGGCGUAGGCGGAUUUUUAA
rnacentral:rRNA from 1 species